rnacentral:SRP_RNA from 1 species
GCUGGGCACAGUGGCUUAUGCCUGUAAUUCUAGCACUUUGGGAGGCUGAGGCGGGUGGAUCACCUGAGGUCAGGAGUUCUAGACCAGCCUGACCAACAUGGUGAAACCCUGUCUCUA